GUGCAGUCGAGCGGUAGCAGGGAGAAAGCUUGCUUUCUCCGCUGACGAGCGGCGGACGGGUGAGUAAUGUCUGGGGAUCUGCCUGAUGGAGGGGGAUAACUACUGGAAACGGUAGCUAAUACCGCAUAACGUCGCAAGACCAAAGUGGGGGACCUUCGGGCCUCAUGCCAUCAGAUGAACCCAGAUGGGAUUAGCUAGUAGGUGGGGUAAUGGCUCACCUAGGCGACGAUCCCUAGCUGGUCUGAGAGGAUGACCAGCCACACUGGAACUGAGACACGGUCCAGACUCCUACGGGAGGCAGCAGUGGGGAAUAUUGCACAAUGGGCGCAAGCCUGAUGCAGCCAUGCCGCGUGUAUGAAGAAGGCCUUCGGGUUGUAAAGUACUUUCAGUAGGGAGGAAGGUGUGAACGUUAAUAGCGCUCACAAUUGACGUUACCUACAGAAGAAGCACCGGCUAACUCCGUGCCAGCAGCCGCGGUAAUACGGAGGGUGCAAGCGUUAAUCGGAAUUACUGGGCGUAAAGCGCACGCAGGCGGUUUGUUAAGUUGGAUGUGAAAUCCCCGGGCUUAACCUGGGAACUGCAUCCAAGACUGGCAAGCUAGAGUCUCGUAGAGGGAGGUAGAAUUCCAGGUGUAGCGGUGAAAUGCGUAGAGAUCUGGAGGAAUACCGGUGGCGAAGGCGGCCUCCUGGACGAAGACUGACGCUCAGGUGCGAAAGCGUGGGGGAGCAAACAGGAUUAGAUACCCUGGUAGUCCACGCUGUAAACGAUGUCGAUUUGGAGGUUGUGCCCUUGAGGCGUGGCUUCCGAAGCUAACGCGUUAAAUCGACCGCCGUGGGGGAGUACGGCCGCAAGGUUAAAACUCAAAUGAAUUUGACGGGGGCCCG
rnacentral:rRNA from 1 species